UGGGGAAUUUUGGACAAUGGGCGAAAGCCUGAUCCAGCCAUGCCGCGUGCAGGAUGAAGGCCUUCGGGUUGUAAACUGCUUUUGUACGGAACGAAAAGACUCUGGGUUAAAUACCUGGGGUCCAUGACGGUACCGUAAGAAUAAGCACCGGCUAACUACGUGCCAGCAGCCGCGGUAAUACGUAGGGUGCAAGCGUUAAUCGGAAUUACUGGGCGUAAAGCGUGCGCAGGCGGUUANAUUAAAGACAGAUGUGAAAAUCCCCGGGGCUCAACCUGGGAACUGCAUUUGUGACUGUAUAGCUAGAGUACGGCAGAGGGGGGAUGGGAAUUUCCGCGUGUAGCAGUGAAAUGCGUAGAUAUGCGGAGGAACACCGAUGGCGAAGGCAAUCCCCUGGGCCUGUACUGACGCUCAUGCACGAAAAGCGUGGGGGAGCAAAACAGGAUUAGAUACCCUGGUAGUCCACGCCCUAAAACGAUGUCAACUGGGUUGUUGGGUCUUUCACUGACUCAGU
rnacentral:rRNA from 1 species